AGUGGAUGGGGAGCAACCUAGUUGUGCGCGUGUAAAGGUAGUGCCAAGAAAAGCGAUGAUCAUGUUGAAAAUCAAUUCCCGGUACCCGAAACCGACACAGGUGGGCAAGUAGAGAAUACUAAGGGGCGCGAGGUAACUCUCUCCAAGGAACUCGGCAAAAUGACCCCGUAACUUAGGGAGAAGGGGUGCCACCGAGAGGUGGUCGCAGUGAAGAGGCCCAGGCGACUGUUUAGCAAAAACAUAGGUCUCUGCAAACUCGAAAGAGGAGGUAUAGGGGCUGACGCCUGCCCAGUGCCGGAAGGUUAAAGAAGUUGGUCAGUUUUAGGAUGAAGCUAGCGACUGAAGCCCCGGUGAACGGCGGCCGUAACUAUAACGGUCCUAAGGUAGCGAAAUUCCUUGUCGGGUAAGUUCCGACCCGCACGAAAGGCGUAACGAUCUGGGCGCUGUCUCGGAGAGAGGCUCGGCGAAAUAGGAUUGUCUGUGAAGAUACGGACUACCUGCAUUUGGACAGAAAGACCCUAUGAAGCUUUACUAUAGCUUGGAAUUGUGUUCGGGCUUCCUGUGCGCAGGAUAGGUGGGAGGCGUAGAAGGUAUUCUUGUGGGGAUACUGGAGCCAACGGUGAGAUACCACUCUCAGGAGGCUAGAAUUCUAACUUAAUUAAGGACAGUUUCUGGUGGGUAGUUUGACUGGGGCGGUCGCCUCCAAAAAGGUAACGGAGGCGUACAAAGGUUCCCUCAGACUGGUUGGAAAUCAGUCGAAGAGUGCAAAGGCAGAAGGGAGCUUGACUGCGAGAAGUACAGUUCGAGCAGGGUGGAAACACGGUCUUAGUGAUCCGACGGUGCUGUGUGGAAGGGCCGUCGCUCAACGGAUAAAAGUUACUCUAGGAUAACAGGCUGAUCUCCCCCAAGAGUUCACAUCGACGGGGAGGUUUGGCACCUCGAUGUCGGCUCAUCACCCUGGGGCGGAAGUACGUCCCAAGGGUUGGGCUGUUCGCCCAUUAAAGCGGUACGUGAGCUGGGUUCAGAACGUCGUGAGACAGUUCGGUCCAUAUCCGAUGUAGGCGUGAGAAUAUUGAGAGGAGCCUUCCUUAGUACGAGAGGACCGGGAAGGACGCACCGCUGGUGUACCUGUUAUGAUGCCAAUUGUAAACGCAGGGUAGCCAAGUGCGGAGAGGAUAACCGCUGAAAGCAUCUAAGUGGGAAGCCCACCUCAAGAUGAGUAUUCUGGUGUAAGGUCACGGGAAGACGACCCGUAAAUAGGCACGAGGUGGAAGUGCAGAGAUGUAUGAAGCCGAAGUGUACUAAUAGACCGUCGGCUUGACC
rnacentral:rRNA from 1 species